rnacentral:rRNA from 1 species
UCCGAGUUGUAAUUUGCAGAGGAUGCUUCGGGUGUGGCCCCUGUCUAAGUGCCCUGGAAUGGGCCGUCGGAGAGGGUGAGAAUCCCGUCUGGGAUGGGGUGCCCGCGCCCGUGUGAAGCUCCCUCGACGAGUCGAGUUGUUUGGGAAUGCAGCUCUAAGUGGGUGGUAAAUUUCAUCUAAAGCUAAAUACCGGCCGGAGACCGAUAGCGCACAAGUAGAGUGAUCGAAAGAUGAAAAGCACCUUGAAAAGGGAGUUAAACAGCACGUGAAAUUGUUGAAAGGGAAGCGCUGACGACCAGACUCGCCUUUGGGGUUCAGCCGGCUUUCGGGCCGGUGUACUUCCCCAGGGGCGGGCCAGCGUCGGUUUGGGCGGCCGGUCAAAGGCCCCCGGAAUGUAGCGCCUCUCGGGGCGCCUUAUAGCCGGGGGUGCAAUGCGGCCAGCCGGACCGAGGAACGC